rnacentral:rRNA from 1 species
UACGAAGGGGGCUAGCGUUGCUCGGAAUCACUGGGCGUAAAGCGCACGUAGGCGGAUUGUUAAGUCAGGGGUGAAAUCCUGGAGCUCAACUCCAGAAAUGCCUUUGAUACUGGCGAUCUCGAGUCCGGGAGAGGUGAGUGGAACUGCGUGUGUAGAGGUGAAAUUCGUAGAUAUUCGCAAGAACACCAGUGGCGAAGGCGGCUCACUGGCCCGGUACUGACGCUGAGGUGCGAAAGCGUGGGGAGCAAACAGG